rnacentral:sRNA from 1 species
AUGCGUGUGGCAGGCGCUGGGUACCCAGGACUAGUCCAUCUUCCCAAAGCCCUGGGUGGAGGAAAACACGCCCCAACUUUACAGAAACAUUGUAUCAAGUCCUGGGUAAUGUCUAUGGGCCAGGUGGGCCGGGGCCAGUCUCUCCCCUCGGAAAGGGGAAUGUCCUGAUGGACCGGCCUGAGUGUCCUGAUGGCUUCAGGUGGUGAGAUCAUGUCACUUGGAUAAAGGGGGAGGAAAACACAGAGAAGGAUCCAUGUCUUCUGGUACCUAAGAUGGAGCUCCUAGAUGGAAAACAGACAUUGCCUACAACUGUAGGCAGGGGAGUGGACCCAUGCAGGAUGUCAGGGUUUCCCUCUCUGUCUGGGACAUUUUCCUGUGCCCAGCAGUGCCUGGGAGUCAGCCUGUGACCUCCAUUCCUGUGGCUGGGACCGCGCCUCUGGCAUCAGGAUGCAGCUGGUCCAGCUUCCAGCUUUGGAAAACAGAGGAUCUGCUGUGGGAAGCCAUGGAGAAGGUCUUCACCUACAGAGCCACCAUCUAAUCCCCCAUAUAGGCCUCUCUGCGCUCCCAGUCACGAUGGCCACCAUCAAGCAAAACCAAGCCUGCCACUGUAAAGCCAAAGACUCCCCCACUGGGGACCAGCCGGAGCCCCUCCCCUUUCCCCCCGGCCCCAGGCUACAUCUAGCCCACGGGCCCUCACUCCAUUCUCAGCUCUUUCAUGGCUUGGAUGCCCAAGAGUCUGAGAACCUGAUGACCCUGGUCUUCUUGCUGGCCUGGGGACCCCCAAGCCAGCCCAGGCUGUUCUGCACCUCAGACUGUGCUUCCCCACCCCCAGAGCGCUGUCCCGAGGCUGUCCUAUAGCCUGACACCCGCCUGGGCAGCAACAGCGUGGGGUAAGUGCAGUCAACUUCCUGUGUCCUGCCUCCCUGAGCAGCGGUGCCCAUGGCAGAUGGGAUGUGGGACCCCGCCCAACCCUACACUCCACCACACUGGGCUUCAGCUCUGAGUCCUCACUUCAUUCCUUCAGUGAGGGCUGGAGUUGGGCAGCACAGGGAAAGAGGACAGAGAGAAUCUUUUGGGGUGACAGGUUGGGGACCUCCCCUGGGUGACACUCAUCUCCUGACUGACUUUUGGGGUCUAGCCUCAGUCACUUGGCUCCAAUCCUCAUUCCUCUGAGUUCCCCAGCUCCAGUCCUCCCUGGGGCCCUCCUGAGCUUGGCUGGGAGCCUCCUUGAGUGGUGUAUGCUGGUGAGUCCUCACCCCGGGUUUCUGUCUACAUGGUGGGGAUAAGGACCCACAAGUGUCAGGAAGCCACUCACAGGGGAUGUGGGAUGGAUGACAGAUCUGCCAACAGUGGUCCAUGGGGCUUCUGAUGGUACAAACUCAGGGAUGAGCCUGUCCCAUGAAUUUCCUACAAAAGCUAUGCAUAAGUGUCAUUUUGGGGAUCCCUGGUGUGGAUUAGCUGUGUUCUUCCACCCCCAAUCUUGACCUUUGUAAUCUGAAAGUAGCUUUCCUUACCAGACAGUUUCUGCUGGUGAGAUCCAGUUUAGAGGACGUCACUGCAGGCUACGGUAGGUCAGUGCCUGCUGCUCUUUAAGGGGGACAUUUAGACACACAGGGAAGUGACUGGCAGAGGCAGAGGGUAGAAUUUGCUGCCACAGGCUGGUGAGAGCUGGGAGACAUACGUGAGUCUCAAUCUCCCUGGGAACCCCAAGGAGGAUCCAGGCCUGCUCUACCCUUGGCCUUUGGGGUUAGUCUCCAGGACUGGGAGAGAACAGAGGCUGUUGUUUGAAGUUUCCAUGCUGGUGGUCCUGAUCCCAGCAGUCCUGGGAAAUGCAUAGGGAUGCCAGAGAUGAAGAAACUGAAGCCCAGAGAGGUUAAGUCCUUAGCCCAAGACACACAGCAAGCUGGCACUGAUGUCAGACAGACUCCAGGGCUGUUUGGCAACCAAGCUCAUUCCCCUGGCUGGGGACUGAUGCGACUGGCCACCUUGUUUCGGGAUCGUUUGUAUGUAGGGUCCACACCAUGGGUCUAUCUCCCCAAGGACAACUGCCAAAGUGCAGAUUUGAGACAGACACAUGGGGCCAGCAGGAGACCCCAUGCCAUGCUUCUCAGAACACAAGCAGGAGAAAGGAGCACAGCAUUCAUACCAAGGUGACCAGAUAUGAGGGUCAAGCUCAGCUUCUUACAGUGUCCCCACGACACUGUAAGACACAGUACACUUAGUACCUAGUGCUCUGGACAAGGUUUCCAGAAGUUUCAGUCUCAACCCUCACCAGCCUGGAAACCUGAGAAACUCACUUCCUCCACCUUAGUUUCCCCAUCUGAAGAAUGGGUAUGGGCUCACAGGGCCUAGGAUGUAGGGAGGGAACAUCUUGGGGCAUUUUAGGGACAAAGGACCCCUUGUUUCUAAAGUUUCAACACCCACACAGACUGUGGGAUGACGCAGGGGAGGUGAUCUGGGGACAGAUUCCGCCGUGGCUAAGGGGAGGGGAGGAAAGCAAGGGACUGCAUCCUAGCCUCGCAUUCCCUUGGGAAACAGGAAGUCCAUUCUGCACAGGCGCUGCUCUGGCUCCAGGAAGCCAGAUGACCCUUUCCUCUCCUGUCUCCUCCCAACUGGGGAAGGAAUUCACUAUACUGUCAACAGCCCUGCCCAGCUUCUGACUAUGGCUCUCAGAGCUGGGGAGGUGGGGCAAGGUACUGCCAAGACGCCCCCUCAUCCUACUGGGUAAGGUUUACUGAGGCUCAGAGAGCCUAAGGCACCUGCUUCAGGCCACACAGCACACACAGCACACACAGCACACACAGCACACAGGGCCGGUGUGGUUAGAACUUGGUAGUUAGGAGUUCUCAUGCUUAGCAGGACCGAUGUCACAGGAGAGCAGGGCGCCACCACUCUCAUGGCAAGCCACUCAAGGCCAGCCCCCUUCCCUGAGGACCUCCAACUGCCAGAUUCCACCCACAGAACACUCUACCUAUCCUAACAGCCUGACACAGGCCAUGUCUCAGUCACCCAGAAUGUCAGCAUCAGGCUUGGACUCAUCCAGCCCCAACCCCUACCCCUGUAACUGACAGCAGGCUGUCUACUACAAUGUUGCCUCCACAAUGUUACCUACUACAAUGUCUCCUGGACAGUGUGACCCACAAAGGCAGGCUGCUUUGCCCUGGCUGUAUGCAUGGAGGCACCUGUUCUCCUGAGUACAUCAGGAUGCCACAAGACCCUCAUUAUGCUUCCAGGAGAGUCUCCCGGGGAAGCUCUUUGCUUAUCCAUUUCUUCCUGUUCAAAUGCAGACAAAGGGCUGGAACCUUGGCACCCAUUCUGGGAUAGCGAGGCUCUGAAGAGGGAGGUGCAUGUGGAGGAUGCCUAAGGUAUGAGAGGGAAGGAACACAGUGCCCUCGGAUGCACCUCUUCUAGCCUGUUUUUUUGUUUUUGUUUUUAAGUUGCUGUGACUUCCUUCUCCUUUUCCUCUUGCUCCUCCUUCCCUCCUCCUCUCAUAUGGCCCAGGUUGACCCUGAGGUUACUAUGUAACUCAGGCUGGCCUUUAACUCUAGAUGACUCCUGUCUCAGUCCCUUAAGUGCUCGUGAAUGACUACGCGAGGUAAGCUGGCAUUUAAACAGAGGAUACGGCGGUUCAGAGGUAGAUAUGACGACUAUAUGAAGACUAGAUCACCGGAGUGGGUAAGAACUUGUGUGGGGAAAGCCGCAGCAGGGAAGGGUGAUUCCAUUGUCUCUAGUAGCCAGCAGCAGCUGACCCCAGUGUAGGCAGAGCGUGCCCUGGGUGCAACUGGAGAGGGAUUCAUGGACAGCGAUGGAGCCACCCUGGGGCUUCCAGGAGUAUGGAUGGGGUGGAUGAGGGUCUUGCCACUGUUCUGAGUCCUUGACACGGCAUGGGAUAGUGACAGGAAGACAGGACCCAAGUGCUAUCUGUACAAGUGUCUGACAGGCAAGUGCUGAGGCCCAAGGUGCUACAUGGAAAGUCAGGGUGCUCCACUGGCAGACAUCCCAAGGUGCUCCACUGAAAUUCCAAGGUGCUCCACUGAAAUCCUAAGGUGCUCUAUGGAAAGGUCAGUGCCCGCUUGCAAGUUGGGGAAGAAGCAUCCUCAGCAGAGUCUUCUAUUGAGCAUAUGACCUUGCCCUACCUGUUGUGUGGUCUGAACCAGCUCCUGCCCUCUCUGGGCCUGGUGAGGGGGAGGUGCCAUGCUCUCCUAUGAAGAACGCAGUGUGGCAGUGGGAAGAAUUAUUUUUCUGCGUUUCUAAGCUCUUUUAUGUGCCUCUUCUUUCAGUCACAGACGCCAGGGUCUCAGGGAGGACCAGAACUGGGGAUCUGAGGACAAAAGGGAAGGCUUGAUGUUAGCUUCUGAGUGAACGUGCUGCUGCUGUUGCUAGCCCACUGAUAAUGGCCCGGAGAACCGGCAGGGGAGGGGCUCCCAAGUCUAGACAUGUUCUUUGCACAUCAAGAGCCAGAUUACAGGAUUGUGGACAGGAUGAGGAGAGCAGGGAGAGGACACAGAGGCCACCAUACUGGGAGUGAGAGGGACAGGGAAGACACUCAGGGAUCCUGUGGUCCUGGGUGGGGAGGGUCUGGGUCAGUCUCUGCUUCUCAUGAUGUGGAAGGGGAGGCAGGCUUUGAUGGCCCCUGGAGGUGCUCAGCUGCCUCAGCCCAUACCCGUUAGGACACUUUCUCAUCUGUGAAGUUCUCCUGGAACCAGUGCAGGAUUUGUGGGGUUCAAGGAGCCGGUGCCAACUGUGGUGCCAGUUGCAAGAGGCAGGGAGAGGAGCCACAGGUAGAGCAAGUGUUACCUGGGGCACUGGGUAGGGGGUGUGGCCCAAUCUGCAUGCCCACCCUGCUGGUUCCUUCAGGAAGCCACAUCAGCUCCUGUCUCCAUCCGGGAAGCCAUGUUUCCCUUUGCAGUGUUUGUUGGAAUCCAGGUCCUCACAAAUGCUAAACAAACCCUCAAGCACUGAGCCACACCCCUGCCAUUUGGGGACAAAGUAUAAAGGCAUUCCAGAAGCACCAUGGCAGGGUGACUGGUGACAGUGGUCAGAAAGCUAUGAUCUACUUGGAAACCCUCCCACCAUGUGACAGUAUCUGCAGUGAUUAUAAAGAGGGCGGACAGACCUGUGUGCUGGCUCUCCUGCGCUCCGGGCUUUGUAGCUAUUGCUGUUCCUGCGGUGCAUGGGGAGGUGAGAAGAAAAGCCUCAAAGGCAAGGAAGAGUUGUGCCUGCAGCUCACUCUGGGACACUGGGAGAGGAAAGAGGGUAGUUGUCCCACAAUGACCUUUGUUAUGAGGCAUCUCGGCAGAGCUGCCUGGAGUUGGACUGGUCCCACCUCUGAUUGGGUCUCAGUCUUGCAGGUAUAAAGAGGAACCACACAGGAAUGCUGAGUUCUUCUGCCCUCAGACAGCAGGAUGAGGCCCUCUCCUGCUCUGACUGACUUGCUGGUCACUUCCACUGAAAGGAGAUAAUUUCCCAGGAGAGGGAAAGGUUUUCUGGCACAUGGUGCCUGCCUGCGGCUUCAAGGACUUUCACUUAUGUGGUGGAGUCCCCUAUAUGGUCACUAGUGAGGCUUUAAGCCAUCCUCCCAACAGGGGUUGACAGGUAUCAUUUUUGGGAAAGACCCACCUUUAGGGAUAGUGUCUCUCUUUCCACAUGUGCCUAUCCCAGGUGAUUUGCAAAGGUGGACAUCAUUUUUUUUAAGACAUAGCUUUUUAUUGGUCUAAUUUACAUGCCAAGAGACCGGCUUGGGCAACUUUCUCCAUGUGCCCUCUGUUGAGAGCUCCUGGCUUGCCCCAGGAAAGAAGAGUGUCCUGGUCAGGGGUUGACAGACAUUCAGUUGGGACCUGAAGGGGCUCAGGGUGAUGGAGAGAUGGGGCCUCAGGGCAGAAGGAGAGCAGUGCCCUGAACAGCCCAUGCCUUGACAGGAUGGGAGGGAUUAGAAGGGAAGAACUUUCCCAGCAGCUCCUACUGUGCCCUUCAAGCCAUCAGCAGGUGGACAUCAUUCUUGACUGAUGCUAGUGUUCCUAUACUCUGGGAUGGAACCUCCAGCAGAGUCAAUAAGAUGAGGAGAUAAAGUUCGUGAUCUGCCCAAGGCCACGUGGCUAGCAAUUCUCAGACCAGUUCUGACCGUAUCUCCAGAGAACUUUAAACCAUGAGGGAAGGGAGAUCUAGAACUUAGAAAGCUCCAGAGCCAAGGAUAAAUGGAUGGCAUCAUUGCCACCUCCUAGUGGCCAUGUAUCCACAGUACCAUGAGGGUCACUCGAGCAGCAGGGCAAUCCUCGGAGAGUGACAGACAGUUGUUCAUGUGUCAGGUUCAGUUUUAUGUAGUACUGAUAGAGAUGCCCAGUUUCAAGGGCUGCCUUGUCUGCUGGGGUAGAAUCUGGAAGGGUGGUAGGGGGUGUACUGGGAUUGUGGAAUUAGAGGGGUAUUUCUGGGGUCUGGGUCAGAUAGAAAUCUAGAAAUUUCCUGGUGUCUUUGGUGCUUGUGUGUGUGUGGGAGAGCCAAGAGGAGUGGUGACUAUGGGAGGAGCAGCCUGUGCCAUGGCCCUGCAGUGAGGGAGCUUGGCUCAAAGAAUAUUGAGUAUCACAGAAGGCUAAGGUGAGGGUGGGGACUGGAUCCUGGGUAAGAGAUGGAGGAGGCCACAGGGGUGGUGAGAUGGGAGCUAGGGUGCUCCUCAGGGCAGAACUAGGGCUAGAAUGUGUGAUCCCCAGCUAGGAGGUCUCUGGCAUGAAUGAGAUGGGAAGCUGUGGCUCCUGGCUAGCUUGGCUCAACAACUAAUGCUCACUUUAGAGGCUCAGGGCUGCAACAUGCCCUCCAGGUCUGGGCAGGGAAGAGAGGGAAGCCCUCCGUUUUACACUCCUUCCCUAACCUCGAGGCCAUGCCAGGAACCCGGCCUGGAGGUACCCCUGCCUGACAGAAUAGAGAGCUGGGCCCACAGUACCUCAACCUGAACUAGUUUAAAGCACCCAGGAACUCUAGGUGUGGUGCUACACAUCUGUAGUUGCAGCUUCUGGGGAGGCAGAGCUGGUGGAUCGGAGUUCGAGGCCAGCCUGGCAACUCUGUGAACUCCUGUCCCAAAAGGAAAAGUAACAUCACGGCAGAGAAAGCUGAGGUAGACCAGUUAUCUAGCAUGCCUGAGACCCUGGGCUCCAUCUUCUAUGUCAAGCACAUGGAUGCACACACAGGCACAGGCAUAUGAUGUAUACACAGGCAUGCACACAGCACACACAGACACACAGACUGAGUGAGGGCUGGGUAGAGAAACCCCCUUGCAGGAGGCUGUCUUUCACACAUCAGCAUCUCCCUGCUCAUGGCAUUGUGGGUCCCAUCCUGUAGGUGAGAAGGCUCCUCAAGAGUCUGGGGGCAGGUGGUGGAGAAACAGCUCUGAGUCCCUGUGUGUUUGCAUGCUGAGCCUCCCUGGCAGGGCGAAACCUGCCCUAAAGGAGGAGUGUGCACCAGAUCUGACAGCAGAUGACAGAGGUUAAAGCAAAUACUAUCCUGGUGGCCAAGCCUAGGUCUCAUGAGGCAGGAAGCCACAUGAAGGCUGGGAAGAAAGCCUUGGGAAGGCUCAGCCUGCUGCCUGGUCUGCCCUGGGGAGCAUCCUUUGGAAGGAGGAGAGAUCCCAUUGGUCUUCUCAUGCACAACACAUUCUUCCCCAGCCAACCAGCCCUAGGCUCUCUGCACAUUCAUACAUCACUACAUCUCAUCUCAACUCCCAUGAAAAUGUUUCCACUCCUCGACUGCUUCAUCCUUCUUUCCCUCUCUCCCUUCCUGCCCUCCCUCCAUUGCUCCAGCCCUUCCUCCAUCCAUCCACGUAUCCAUCUACGUACUCCAUCACACAUCCCCAUUCCAGCAUCUGUCCCCAUUCCUCUAUCCCUCCCGUUUCCCUUCCUCCAUCCAUCCAUUUAUCACAUCCAUCCCUUCACUUCCAGCAUUCUUUUAUCUCUCCUGCUUCUUUCCCUCCCUCCCAACAUCUUCCCCACCCUCCUCCUCUUUCUCUCU